rnacentral:tRNA from 1 species
GGAGGCGGAAAGGCUCUGGUGGGCCUCGCGGUCUUCAAAACCGUAGGCGGCGGCGCAAACCGCCGCGGGGGGUUCGAUUCCCUUCCCCUCC